rnacentral:rRNA from 1 species
GCUGCAACUCGCCUACAUGAAGUCGGAAUUNCUAGUAAUCGCGGAUCAGCAUGCCGCGGUGAAUACGUUCCCGGGCCUUGUACACACCGCCCGUCACACCAUGAGAGCCGGUAACACCCGAAGUCAGUAGCCUAACCGCAAGGGGGGCGCUGCCGAAGGUGGGAUUGGUGAUUGGGGUGAAGUCGUAACAAGGUAUC